rnacentral:rRNA from 1 species
AUACGUAGGGGGCGAGCGUUGUCCGGAAUGAUUGGGCGUAAAGGGCGCGUAGGCGGCGCGGUAAGUCUGGAGUGAAAGUCCUGCUUUCAAGGUGGGAAUUGCUUUGGAUACUGCCGCGCUUGAGUGCAGGAGAGGUUAUCGGAAUUCCCGGUGUAGCGGUGAAAUGCGUAGAGAUCGGGAGGAACACCAGUGGCGAAGGCGGGUAACUGGACUGCAACUGACGCUGAGGCGCGAAAGUGUGGGGAGCAAACAGGAUUAGAUACCCUGGUAGUCCACGCUGUAAACGAUGAAUACUAGGUGUGGGGGGACUGACCCCCUCCGUGCCGCAGUUAACACAAUAAGUAUUCCACCUGGGGAGUACGAUCGCAAGAUUGAAACUCAAAGGAAUUGACGGGG